rnacentral:rRNA from 1 species
CGAAUGCUGACGUGAGUAACGACAAAACGGGUGAAAAACCCGUUCGCCGAAAGACCAAGGGUUCCAGUCCAACGUUAAUCGGGGCUGGGUGAGUCGACCCCUAAGGCGAGGCCGAAAGGCGUAGUCGAUGGGAAAAUGGUUAAUAUUCCAUUACUUCUGUGUAAUGCGAUGAGAGGACGGAGAAGGCUAAAUCAGCCUGGCGUUGGUUGUCCAGGUGAAAGGAUGUAGGCAUGUAUCUUAGGCAAAUCCGGGGUACUCUAUGCUGAGAUCUGAUAGCAAGCUGUACUUGUACAGCGAAGUGGUUGAUGCCAUGCUUCCAGGAAAAGUCUCUAAGCUUCAGUUACACAGGAAUCGUACCCGAAACCGACACAGGUGGUCAGGUCGAGUAGACCAAGGCGCUUGAGAGAACUCUGCUGAAGGAACUAGGCAAAAUGGUACCGUAACUUCGGGAGAAGGUACGCUGUUGUUGGUGAUGGAACUCGCUUCCUGAGCUGACGACAGCCGCAGAAACCAGGCCGCUGCAACUGUUUAUUAAAAACAUAGCACUCUGCAAACACGAAAGUGGACGUAUAGGGUGUGAUGCCUGCCCGGUGCUGGAAGGUUAAUUGAUGGGGUUAGCGUAAGCGAAGCUCUUGAUCGAAGCCCCAGUAAACGGCGGCCGUAACUAUAACGGUCCUAAGGUAGCGAAAUUCCUUGUCGGGUAAGUUCCGACCUGCACGAAUGGCAUAAUGAUGGCGGCGCUGUCUCCAGCAGAGGCUCAGUGAAAUCGAAAUCGCUGUGAAGAUGCAGUGUACCCGCGGCUAGACGGAAAGACCCCGUGAACCUUUACUGCAGCUUGACACUGAACUUUGACCUUACUUGUGUAGGAUAGGUGGGAGGCUUUGAAGCUGGAACGCUAGUUCCAGUGGAGC